GACGUAGGGCGCGAGCGUUGUCCGGAUUUACUGGGCGUAAAGAGCGCGCAGGCGUCGUUCAAGUCGAGUGUGAAAGCCCCCGGCUCAACUGGGGAGGGUCACUCGAUACUGAUCGACUCGAAGGCAGGAGAGGGAAGUGGAAUUCCCGGUGUAGUGGUGAAAUGCGUAGAUAUCGGGAGGACACCAGUGGCGAAGGCGACUUCCUGGCCUGU
rnacentral:rRNA from 1 species